CAGUGGAGCACUGGUCAAUAUUUUCCCACUGACAAGCAACCUCUAUAAAGAAAAGAAAAGAUCACGAGUAAAAGCAAAACGCUGUUAUAGAACAACUUGGCAAAACUGAAUCGUCUACCAAAGGUUUCAAACACUUUCUAAGGUCAUGUCAGUAUUGCUGGCCAAGCAUCAGUAGUUUAUUCGUUGCUUGAUUAUAAGUGGAAUUGUAAAUGGAAUGAAAUAAGAUGGAUAUGGAGGAUUACCAACUGCUGUUGGCAUACAGCUGCACGCUUAAAGAUGUCUUCAUUCAUUAACAGAUUAUUUUAGCCUGCCAAGGUUGGAAAUGAAAUGCAAAUCACAGCUUGUACAUUUAUCACUGUAAGGAAAGCAUCCUGCCAGUACUGGUUAGGCAAAGUGUACUUGUAGCCAUUAGUAGUCCAGUCUGAUUAUCGGGCUCAAUCUGUUUCUAAUGGCAACCUUUGCAGUGACAGCAUUGUCUCCAUCUGUGCUCACAUGAGAGAUUUUAAAUCUUAGCAUUUAAAGUUCUGAAAUAACCUUACAGACACAAUUAUUUACUUUCUUAGGGAUUGUUACAGCUGGUGUGCAGCAACCUGGUGUACCUGCAACAGGCAAGAUGGCCCCUACCUUCUGCUUAGCAAGCCAAAUAGCAGUCAGUCAGUAUUGCCUCUAAUUAUGACAGCACCUGCUCUCAUGAUCUGCUGAGCUCAUGAGAAACCGAGGAACAAUCAUAAAAAAAAUUGUUUGGAAGGAGCCCGAACAUUGAAGCAAGACUUACACCACCAGUAGCUCAAGAAAGCCUUGGUUGGCUCUGUCUUCCCAAAUCUUCAGGGAUGGAGAUAACUCAAAUCCUCUAGGCCUAAACAACAAGAUACAGACCUGAAGCAGAGGAAAAGGACGUCAAGAGACAAUAACAUUGAAAAAGGAAGUACAGAAACAACAACAACAACAACAACAACAACAAAAAGAAUGAACGAUAUAAAUAUGAAAGAAAGUCAAGAGGAAGGUAAGAAAGUGAACUGAUGAAUGGAAAAAGAAAGAGA
rnacentral:lncRNA from 1 species